rnacentral:rRNA from 1 species
GACAGAGGUGCCGAGCGUUAGGCGGAAUCACUGGGCUUAAAGCGUGUGUAGGCGGGUGCCUAAGUACCUUGUGAAAUCCCCCGGCUCAACCGGGGAACGGCUGGGUAUACUGGCGGUCUUGAGCCAUCCAGGGGCAGUCGGAACAGACGGUGGAGCGGUGAAAUGCGUAGAUAUCGUCUGGAACGCCGAAGGUGAAAACAGACUGCUGGGGAUGCGCUGACGCUGAGACACGAAAGCCAGGGGAGCGAACGGG